GAACUGAAACUGCCAGUCUGAAACAAAACAAAGUGACAAUUAAUUGGAAAACAUACUUGAUUUUUACAUACCCCAGAGAGAAUCCCUGAUAACAUUUUGGUGAAAAUGUGAGGCUCAAUUCUGUGUGAAAUAAAAGAUGA